AUGGAUAUUCCUCGUAUAUUGCCCAUGCAUCAGCCGGAUAAUGGACAUGCACAUCUCUGCCUCUGCUCCGCUCAGACUCCGUCGCGCUGCGGGCUGCCUCGCUCGUGCGCCCGAGCCCGCCGCCUCGCCGGUUAUGCUCGCUUCUCCGCGUCCGCGCAGCGCCGCAUAGUCCGGGUGCUCCGCACGCUGCUACAGUCCCGCGGCCGCGCGCUGCUGCAGCCUCAUCGCCUGGCUAUGCCGCUGUGCCUCCGCUCCCACGAGCACUGCAGCGCCACCACCUGCAGCCAUUGCUAUCGCUCCGCCCGUCCUCGCGUCUGCCCAGCCACGGAUGUCGCCGUCGUGUCUCCUCUUCGCGGAAGACCCGCGGCCCCCGCCGCCACCUCGCCACUCUGCCGCGCGUCGCCGCAAGCCGGGCCUCCUCCGCCCCGGUCCGGCGGCGUCUGGCCUCCCUUGGCCCCUGCACGGGUGGCCUGGCCCCGUUCCGGCCGCCUCCGCGCCCGCCGAGUCACGACCCCACGCUGGCCGCCUCCCCGUCGCCCCGCGGGCUCCGUCCGCCUCCAGGCGCCGCUUCGCCCAGUCCGGCGUCCGUGCCGACUCCGCACGCGCCGGGUCCGGGUGGUCGCCCCGUGCCCGACCGCGUCCGGUCGCCGCCCGCUGCGCCGCUCCACCACCCGGCCCGGCCCUACGGCCGGCUCCCGCGCGCCCGCCAGCCGGGUCACCGCGCCUCCGCGUCACUCCUGCGCUCCCGCUCGCCCGGCUGUCCGCCUCGCCGCCCUGCGUGCGGCAGCCGGCGGCGUCGCCCGCGCGUCGUGGGCCUCCACCCCGGCCGCCCCGCGCAGGCUCGCCUCACGCCCGCACCAUCCCGCUCCGUGCUUCGUGUCAGGCUCCCUUGCCGCGCCUCUGGCCGGUCGGGUCGCGCGCCUCCGCUGCCGGCUCUCGGGUCGAGCGCCGUGGCUAGCUGUGCCCCUCGCGCACCCGCCGGGUUCCCGCAUCUGGCUCCCCUGGGCCGGACGGAGAAGAAAAGAAAGGGGUCGGCUGCCCCACGCGAAGAAAAGAUUAAAAGAAGAAAGAUGCUGCCGGCUGGAGAAGAGAAAAAUGGAGGGGCCGGCUGCCCGCGUGGAGCCGGCCAGAAAAGUAUCCGGGUGCUGA
rnacentral:rRNA from 1 species